rnacentral:rRNA from 1 species
CCUACGGGUGGCAGCAGUGAGGAAUAUUGGUCAAUGGGCGCGAGCCUGAACCAGCCCAGUCGCGUGAGGGAAGACGGUCCUAUGGAUUGUAAACCUCUUUUGUCGGGGAGCAAAAGACGCCACGCGUGGCGUUCCGAGAGUACCCGACGAGAAAGCCUCGGCUAACUCCGUGCCAGCAGCCGCGGUAAUACGGAGGAUGCGAGCGUUAUCCGGAUUUAUUGGGUUUAAAGGGUGCGCAGGCGGAAGAUGAAGUCAGCGGUAAAAUUGAGAGGCUCAACCUCUUCGAGCCGUUGAAACUGGUUUUCUUGAGUGAGCGAGAAGUAUGCGGAAUGCGUGGUGUAGCGGUGAAAUGCAUAGAUAUCACGCAGAACUCCGAUUGCGAAGGCGGCCUGCUGGACUGAAACUGACGUUGAGGCUCGAAAGCGUGGGGAGCAAACAGGAUUAGAUACCCCGGUAGUC